rnacentral:tRNA from 1 species
AAAUAAGAAGCAAUUUUGCAUUUAGUUUCGACCUAAAUUUUUGAUUUAUAAUCCUUAUUUA